AUCUAUGACCAUGCCAUCCUUGAACGUGUCUGAUCUCGUCUGAUCUCAGAAGCUAAGCAGGCUAAGGCCUGGUUAGUACUUGGAUGGGAGACCACCUAGGAAUAGCAGGUGCUGUAGGUG
rnacentral:rRNA from 1 species